AGUAUGAUUAGGAUGUUACAUAAAUCGAACUGUGCUAUAUACAGUAUGCGGAGAAGGACAAUUCCUUAGCUUGUCUAAAGUCUGAUAGUGUGAAGAAUUUGCUGACCUGCUCUCCUUGCCUGUCUGAGCACGAGUGAAGUGAAUCAGAGAGAGACUGCAAGAUGGAGAAAGGAGGUACAGUUGGAGAGAGUGGAGGGGGCAGGAAAGACCAGACAGAGCUGCAUCUCCCAUGAAAACAACCGUGUACAUAUGAUAGAGUGAGUACAUAGAGUACAUAGAAGAGUGAGCUCUGAAAGAACUCUCACAUGGACCCCAGAAAGAGGAGUACUCAACGCCUGCUGCACAGAAGGCAUCAGCAGUAAGUACUGGCUAGAAAAGCAGAGUCCAUCAAAGGAGAGGACCACAGUGGUAGCUGGCUGAAUACCCAGAGUGGCUUGGGUUUCCUGGGCUGAACCCUGCCUGGAGAGCUGUCCCUGCAAGCUGAACUAUCAGGAGAUGAAGAAUGAGGUCUCCCUAAAAUGCCCACCAUGAGACUGCCAGAUAUGGGACUGCUGGAUGACACUCUGGCCCCCCCCACUGAGUUUUAUGAAAACAUAACAGAGUAAAGACACUUACUUGUCAACUCAGUUACAAGCUAUUGAGGCACUCCAGAGUGACAGCAUGUGAUCCCCCUGACACAAGAAACAGGCCCAGAUAACACACCGUUCAGACCGACAGCAGUUCU
rnacentral:lncRNA from 1 species